rnacentral:piRNA from 1 species
UCUCAGUGCACCUGUACAUUCAAGGGCA